GACGAACGCUGGCGACGUGCCUAAUACAGGCAAGUCGAACGAAGCUGUUUUAACUGGUGCUUGCACCGACUUAAACAACUGAGUGGCGAACGGGUGAGUAACACGUGGGUAACCUGCCCCAAAGCGGGGGAUAACAUUUGGAAACAGAUGCUAAUACCGCAUAACCACAGAAACCACAUGGUUUCUGUGUCAAAGAUGGUUUCGGCUAUCACUUUGGGAUGGACCCGCGGCGUAUUAGCUAGUUGGUAAGGUAAUGGCUUACCAAGGCAAUGAUACGUAGCCGAACUGAGAGGUUGAUCGGCCACAUUGGGACUGAGACACGGCCCAAACUCCUACGGGAGGCAGCAGUAGGGAAUCUUCCACAAUGGACGAAAGUCUGAUGGAGCAACGCCGCGUGAGUGAAGAAGGUUUUCGGAUCGUAAAACUCUGUUGUCAGAGAAGAACGUGUGCGAGAGUAACUGCUCGUGCAGUGACGGUAUCUGGCCAGAAAGCCACGGCUAACUACGUGCCAGCAGCCGCCGUAA
rnacentral:rRNA from 1 species